rfam:Flavobacterium sp. TAB87 contig000007, whole genome shotgun sequence.
GGUCUCUUAGAUUACGAGUUAAUCCUAUGGAGAAGUCAGCAGAAGUCAUAGUACUUGAGGUAACGAGUUGCGAAUAGAUACCGCAUAGGGCUCACAAACAAGGAAGGAC